rnacentral:lncRNA from 1 species
AGGGAUGAUAGAUGUGGAUAAGGGUUGAUGGUCAACUCCGUGGACUAAGAAGAUUCCUGACGUCUUUUACUCUUAUCUGAAUUUAGUUGAUCUAUUUUGUAUUAGAAUAAACUCCUAUAUUAUAUAGUAGACUUCUUGUAUUCCACCUCUAAGGGAUGUUACAGGUCAAAGAUGAGACACCGUACUUCAUUAUUUAUCUCUGGUCUUAAACUAUCUCAUCCUUCAAUAAACUCUUUUAACUUUCUGCAAUCAACUAUACCAUUCAGUUUUUACAUCUCCAAAAAUGCACUUAGGAUUUGGUACUUGAUACGAUAUGUUCGAAAAAUGGAUACUUAGGAACUUUUUGAAUUCAUUUAUGAAUCAUGGAGAUUAAGUUUAUUCUCAGAAAAAAAUACAACAAAUAUUAAUUGCCAACGAAAAGACUUGGAUUUUAUAUAUGCUUUGGAAUUGGAUAGAUUAAGAAUGCCAUUUAUUAGUUAUAGUCGAAGAAGACCUAUAUUAUUAAAAUACAAUAAAACAAAAAUUGAUUAUA